UACAUAGACCUCAAGCGUUAUCCGGAUUUACUGGGCGUAAAGCGUGCGUAGGCGUCCUGUUAAGUCUCCGGUGAAAUCCCUCGGCUCAACUGAGGAAUGGUCGGAGAUACUGGCAGGAUCGAGUGUGACAGAGGCAGACGGAAUUCCUGGUGUAGCGGUAAAAUGCGUUGAUAUCAGGAGGAACACCAAUGGCGAAGGCAGUCUGCUGGGUCAUUACUGACGCUCAUGCACGAAAGCGUGGGGAGCAAACAGGAUUAGAUACCCUGGUAGU
rnacentral:rRNA from 1 species